rnacentral:rRNA from 1 species
GAUGAACGCUGGCGGCGUGCCUAAUACAUGCAAGUCGAGCGAACAGACGAGGAGCUUGCUCCUCUGACGUUAGCGGCGGACGGGUGAGUAACACGUGGAUAACCUACCUAUAAGACUGGGAUAACUUCGGGAAACCGGAGCUAAUACCGGAUAAUAUAUUGAACCGCAUGGUUCAAUAGUGAAGUGCGGUUUUGCUGUCACUUAUAGAUGGAUCCGCGCCGCAUUAGCUAGUUGGUAAGGUAACGGCUUACCAAGGCGACGAUGCGUAGCCGACCUGAGAGGGUGAUCGGCCACACUGGAACUGAGACACGGUCCAGACUCCUACGGGAGGCAGCAGUAGGGAAUCUUCCGCAAUGGGCGAAAGCCUGACGGAGCAACGCCGCGUGAGUGAUGAAGGUCUUCGGAUCGUAAAACUCUGUUAUUAGGGAAGAACAAAUGUGUAAGUAACUAUGCACGUCUUGACGGUACCUAAUCAGAAAGCCACGGCUAACUACGUG